rnacentral:tRNA from 2 species
GGCCUCGUGGUCUAGUGGUCUCUGGACGCCAGGUUUUCACCCUGGAAGUGCGGGUUCGAUUCCCGCCGAGGUCA